CAUGGAAAAAUGAAUAAAGAAACAAGAAGCUCCCAAAUCUUUACUUUUCUAGUAAAGUUAACUCACUUAAAUACCAAAAUCAUAUAAUCCCAUGCAAAACACUACAACAAUCUAGACAUGUUUGUUACUAACAUGUCUGGAUCUUUUUCUUGGAAGUGGAUCUACAUGUUGCAUAGCAAUUCAUUAAUGAAUCUAUUUCAAAGAAAAUUGGGUGCUUCUGCUUGUAAGCAAAUCACCUUGUCUAUCAAACUGGAGAAAAUAUAUUUGAUGUUGGUGUUCCAUCCUUUAGUAGGGAAUUUUUUUUGGGACAUUACAAUGAUAUGCUAAUGCCUUAAAGACCACUAUGACAAUGUUCCCUUGAGCUUCAGCUUCAAGAAUGAUUGCCUCGGAGAAUCGAAUGCUGGAAACUAAUUCAAAUGAUGUGAAGGCAAGAAAAAGCGGUGCCUUGAUCACCUGCAACAAGCAGAAAAUUAUUUUUCACUUUCCCAGUUACAGCAAGGGUAUGUCACAAGUACAACAUUUACACUUACAAUUGAAGCUAUGAAUCCGGGUGUGGUACCAAUGAGGAGAUUCUAUAUUUUUUAAUUUUAUUCUAUUUUUCCUAUUUGAACUAGGCUUGAAGAUUUUCCUUCAUUUAUCUUUCUAAAAUAGGUUUUCGUUUACA